UGUGGCCUACGGGAGGCAGCAGUGAGGAAUAUUGGUCAAUGGGCGGAAGCCUGAACCAGCCACGUCGCGUGAGGGAAUAAGGCGCUACGGGUCGUAAACCUCUUUUGCCGGGGAGCAAGGGCCGGGACGCGUCCCGGCCCGGAGAGUACCCGGAGAAAAAGCAUCGGCUAACUCCGUGCCAGCAGCCGCGGUAAUACGGAGGAUGCGAGCGUUAUUCGGAUUUAUUGGGUUUAAAGGGUGCGUAGGCGGGUUAUCAAGUCAGCGGUAAGAUCGUGGGGCUCAACUCCAUCCAGCCGUUGAAACUG
rnacentral:rRNA from 1 species